GGGUGAGUAACACGUGGGUGAUCUGCCCUGCACUCUGGGAUAAGCCUGGGAAACUGGGUCUAAUACCGGAUAUGACCUGCUCCUGCAUGGGGGUGGGUGGAAAGAUUUAUCGGUGCAGGAUGGGCCCGCGGCCUAUCAGCUUGUUGGUGGGGUAAUGGCCUACCAAGGCGACGACGGGUAGCCGACCUGAGAGGGUGACCGGCCACACUGGGACUGAGACACGGCCCAGACUCCUACGGGAGGCAGCAGUGGGGAAUAUUGCACAAUGGGCGGAAGCCUGAUGCAGCGACGCCGCGUGAGGGAUGAAGGCCUUCGGGUUGUAAACCUCUUUCAGCAGGGACGAAGCGUAAGUGACGGUACCUGCAGAAGAAGCACCGGCUAACUACGUGCCAGCAGCCGCGGUAAUACGUAGGGUGCGAGCGUUGUCCGGAAUUACUGGGCGUAAAGAGUUCGUAGGCGGUUUGUCGCGUCGUUUGUGAAAACCCGGGGCUCAACUUCGGGCUUGCAGGCGAUACGGGCAGACUUGAGUGUUUCAGGGGAGACUGGAAUUCCUGGUGUAGCGGUGAAAUGCGCAGAUAUCAGGAGGAACACCGGUGGCGAAGGCGGGUCUCUGGGAAACAACUGACGCUGAGGAACGAAAGCGUGGGUAGCAAACAGGAUUAGAUACCCUGGUAGUCCACGCCGUAAACGGUGGGCGCUAGGUGUGGGUUCCUU
rnacentral:rRNA from 1 species